AUGCUGAAUUAUUUCCGGAUAGGACAGAGGUGCAAUGUUUACAUCCAUGGCAGAAGGUUCUUUUUCAAAGGUCCUUGGACUCAAGAGGAAGAUGACAAAAUUAUCGACCUUGUAAACAAGUACUCCCUCCGUUCCAAAAUUGGGUAUUCUUUUGAUAUAACUAACAAAAUAGUCUCAUUGCAAGGCCAGCUACCAGAACUUCCUGUUGAUGAUCCUGGGAUGUUUACGAACAUGCUCCCGAACAUGUUCAAUUUAUCCGCCCUAGUACAGAAUGAACCGACCUGUGAUCUAUCACGCUUCUUUAUUAUUCAAUGUUUUGUUAUUACUUUCUAA
rnacentral:rRNA from 1 species